rnacentral:tRNA from 1 species
GCAUUGGUGGUUCAGUGGUUGAAUUCUCGCCUACCAAGUGGGAGACCCGGGGCAGAUUCCUGGCCAAUCCA